CCCCUAGAUGUUCUGGGCCGCACGCGCGCUACACUGAACAGUUCAACAAGUCUUAACCUUGGCCGAUAGGUCUGGGUAAUCUUUGAACGCUGUUCGUGAUUGGGAUAGACCUUUGCAAUUAUGGGUCUUCAACGAGGAAUUCCUAGUAAACGCAAGUCAUCAGCUUGCAUUGAUUACGUCCCUGCCCUUUGUACACACCGCCCGUGGCACCUACCGAUUGAAUGGUCCGGUGAAAUCUCGGGACGGCGGCUUGGUCGCUUGCGUCCGACUGCUGAAACUUGAUUAAACCAUAUCAUUUAGAGGAAGGUGAAGUCGUANCA
rnacentral:rRNA from 1 species